GAGAGAGACGAAGCACACAAUGAAGAGCGACGGAGGGAUCCGCGUGGCGAUGGGGAUGGCGAGGGGAACUUACAAUGAUGCGAGGCUGAAUGAUGCCGUGGAGAGGCCAUGCAGACGGGGCUGCGAGCCCCUUGUGUCAGUAUCAAUCCCCCUUUGCUGCAGCGCAUUCCAUCAUCCUUUCUCACAAUUCCUCUAGGUCCCGAGUGUGACAAUGGCGGGUGUAGAUCACUGUCUUGAAGGAGAACCAGGCGCGUUAGCUUCUACGUGGUUUACUGUCAUGCGCUCAGUGAGGCAAAAUACGAGAAGCACUUGUAAAUAAAUUUUCUCGUUGAAGUGACUUCAAAUGAACAAUUAGUUAAAUAUUUCUUAUGAAAAGUAGGGUUCAGAUUCUAGCGCAGUUGGUACAGCCAACCGCCUGAAGCUCCUGAGCACCGCCUUGAUGUGUUCCAUCUCAAGGCCCAACGACUGACACCUUCAACUAGAGCUGCCAACCUCUUCAUUCGCCGUACAUCCUGGCAUCUCCGCGGCGUUGUAGCUCUGUUAAUUAGAGAUUACUAAGGCCAAUUCACGAUACCACUGCUUUUCCCAGCUGGAUUGUGCUACAAUUUGUGCCGUAUCGUUGGUGCAAUGUAAUGCCAUUUUCGGUUGAAACUUCAAAGUUACUCAGUUCUGAAAUUAAACCAA